rnacentral:rRNA from 1 species
GUGGGGAAUAUUGCACAAUGGAGGAAACUCUGAUGCAGCGACGCCGCGUGAGUGAAGAAGUAGUUCGCUAUGUAAAGCUCUAUCAGCAGGGAAGAUAGUGACGGUACCUGACUAAGAAGCUCCGGCUAAAUACGUGCCAGCAGCCGCGGUAAUACGUAUGGAGCAAGCGUUAUCCGGAUUUACUGGGUGUAAAGGGAGUGUAGGUGGCCAGGCAAGUCAGAAGUGAAAGCCCGGGGCUCAACCCCGGGACUGCUUUUGAAACUGCAGGGCUAGAGUGCAGGAGGGGCAAGUGGAAUUCCUAGUGUAGCGGUGAAAUGCGUAGAUAUUAGGAGGAACACCAGUGGCGAAGGCGGCUUGCUGGACUGUAACUGACACUGAGGCUCGAAAGCGUGGGGAGCAAACAGGAUUAGAAACCCUAGUAGUCC